CGUGGAUUUACACACCGCAGACACAGUCAUCCUAGACUCUGAGAGGGUACACAAGGUUCCUCUGAAUGCCACUGGGCCUCUGGGCCAGGGGCUGAGUGCACUACUCAUAGGAAGGUCUAGUGCCACUCUUCAGGGAAUCUUUGUUCACCCUGGAGUCAUUGAUGCUGACUUCACGGGUCAAAUUUAUGCUAUGGUUUCCACGCCUUCUCCCCCUGUCACUAUUCCGGCAGGAACUCGAAUUGCUCAACUUGUGCCUUUUCAUUCAUCUGUUCUCAGGGCAGAUCAACGAGAUCGCAAAGACGGUGGUUUCGGAUCCACAGGACCGCCACAAGUCUUUUGGACAAUGAAUAUCUCCGAUCAGCGCCCACAGAUGAUGUGCACUUUGACCCUCUCAGGCUGCAGAUGAUACAUGCCUGCCUCAUCGUUUGGGGCAGUGGGUACGCUUGCAUCUCAACAGAUACUGGGGUGCACUGCCUGCCUGCAAGGUGUGUCCGCCCUGAGCUGCGACAUCAGGGACAGAAUGCAGCCGAGGCACAGCCUUCAAAUGCUGAACAAUAUGCCAAUCACCAGCCAGACGAUCCCUCUGCAAGCAGAGGAUGAGCAUUCAUCUGUUUCUUUGGAAAUGUUUUUAGCUUUGGGACAUUGUUAAAUGAGCUCUUUUGAAAUAUAUUAAGAAAUUAUAAGUUUGGAAAAUGGUGAUGGGUUUUGCUAUCAAUUUUAGCACUGAGUUUCUCAAAAAGCACCAGGUGUGAAGAUUUCCCUGAGUGCUUCAGGCAUCCACAGAUCUCCAGAGUGGUGUUUGUUCUCCUCCACGUAGGGCCCCCGUGGAGGACUACAAGCACUUCUUUUCUUUU